GGGUCGGUGGCGUAGUUGGUUAUCGCAUCUGUCUAACAUAUCGUUCACAGAAGGUCCUCAGUUCGAACCUGGGCCGACUCA